UACGUAGGGGGCAAGCGUUAUCCGGAUUUACUGGGUGUAAAGGGAGCGUAGACGGCAAGGCAAGCCUGGAGUGAAAGGCGGGGGCCCAACCCCCGGACUGCUCUGGGAACCGCCUGGCUGGAGUGCAGGAGGGGUAAGCGGAAUUCCUAGUGUAGCGGUGAAAUGCGUAGAUAUUAGGAGGAACACCGGUGGCGAAGGCGGCUUACUGGACUGUGACUGACGUUGAGGCUCGAAAGCGUGGGGAGCGA
rnacentral:rRNA from 1 species